GCAUAUCAAUAAGCGGAGGAAAAGAAACCAACAGGGAUUGCCCUAGUAACGGCGAGUGAAGCGGCAACAGCUCAAAUUUGAAAUCUGGCCCUCGGGUCCGAGUUGUAAUUUGUAGAGGAUGCUUUUGGUGCGGUGCCUUCCGAGUUCCCUGGAACGGGACGCCAUAGAGGGUGAGAGCCCCGUCUGGUUGGACACCAAGCCUCUGUAAAGCUCCUUCGACGAGUCGAGUAGUUUGGGAAUGCUGCUCUAAAUGGGAGGUAUAUGUCUUCUAAAGCUAAAUACCGGCCAGAGACCGAUAGCGCACAAGUAGAGUGAUCGAAAGAUGAAAAGCACUUUGAAAAGAGGGUUAAAUAGUACGUGAAAUUGUUGAAAGGGAAGCGCUUGUGACCAGACUUGAGCCCGGUUAAUCAUCCAGCCUUCUGGCUGGUGCACUUGGCCGGCUCAGGCCAGCAUCAGUUCGGCGCGGGGGAUAAAGGCUUCGGGAAUGUGGCUCCUCCGGGAGUGUUAUAGCCCGUUGUGUAAUACCCUGUACUGGACUGAGGUUCGCGCAUCUGCAAGGAUGCUGGCGUAAUGGUCAUCAGCGACCCGUCUUGAAACACGGACCAAGGAGUCGUCUUCGUAUGCGAGUGUUCGGGUGUCAAACCCCUACGCGUAAUGAAAGUGAACGCAGGUGAGAGCUUCGGCGCAUCAUCGACCGAUCCUGAUGUUCUCGGAUGGAUUUGAGUAAGAGCAUACGGGGCCGGACCCGAAAGAAGGUGAACUAUGCCUGUAUAGGGGUGAAGCCAGAGGAAACUAUGGUGGAGGCUCGCAGCGGUUCUGACGUGCAAAUCGAUCGUCAAAUAUGGGCAUGGGGGCGAAAGACUAAUCGAACCUUCUAGUAGCUGGUUUCCGCUCGCAAGU
rnacentral:rRNA from 1 species